rnacentral:tRNA from 1 species
GGGGUUGUGGCUCAGCAGUAGAGCGCUCGACUCAAACCUGUGAGACCCUGGGUUCAAUCCUCAGCACCA